CCUUCAUGAAGCUGGAAUUGCUAGUAAUGGCAGGUCAGCAUACUGCCGUGAAUACGUUCCCGGGCCUUGUACACACCGCCCGUCACACCAUGAGAGUUGGGAAUACCCGAAGCCUGUGAGCUAACUUAUAGAGGCAGCAGUCGAAGGUAGAAUCAAUGAUUGGGGUGAAGUCGUAACAAGGUACC
rnacentral:rRNA from 1 species